CAGUAGCCGCGGUAAUACGAAGGGGGCUAGCGUUGCUCGGAAUCACUGGGCGUAAAGGGUGCGUAGGCGGGUUUUUAAGUCAGAGGUGAAAUCCUGGAGCUCAACUCCAGAACUGCCUUUGAUACUGAAAGUCUUGAGUUCGGGAGAGGUGUGUGGAACUGCGAGUGUAGAGGUGAAAUUCGUAGAUAUUCGCAAGAACACCAGUGGCGAAGGCGGCUCACUGGCCCGAUACUGACGCUGAGGCACGAAAGCGUGGGGAGCAAACAGGAUUAGAUACCCCGGUAGUCCCUGUCUCUUAUAC
rnacentral:rRNA from 1 species